AUGCAGUCGAACGAUGAAGCCCAGCUUGCUGGGUGGAAGAGUGGCGAACGGGUGAGUAACACGUGAGUAACCUGCCUAUCACUCUGGGAUAAGCGCUGGAAACGGCGUCUAAUACUGGAUAUGUCCCAUCACCGCAUGGUGUGUGGGUGGAAAGAUUUAUCGGUGGUAGAUGGACUCGCGGCCUAUCAGCUUGUUGGUGAGGUAAUGGCUCACCAAGGCGACGACGGGUAGCCGGCCUGAGAGGGUGACCGGCCACACUGGGACUGAGACACGGCCCAAACUCCUACGGGAGGCAGCAGUGGGGAAUAUUGCACAAUGGGCGCAAGCCUGAUGCACCAACGCCGCGUGAGGGAUGACGGCCUUCGGGUUGUAAACCUCUUUUAGUAGGGAAAAAGCGCAAGUGACGGUACCUGCAAAAAAAGCACCGGCUAACUACGUGCCAGCAGCCGCGGUAAUACGUAGGGUGCAAGCGUUGUCCGGAAUUAUUGGGCGUAAAGAGCUCGUAGGCGGCUUGUCGCGUCUGCUGUGAAAACUGGAGGCUCAACCUCCAGCCUGCAGUGGGUACGGGCAAGCUAGAGUGCGGUAGGGGAGAUUGGAAUUCCUGGUGUAGCGGUGGAAUGCGCAGAUAUCAGGAGGAACACCGAUGGCGAAGGCAGAUCUCUGGGCCGUUACUGACGCUGAGGAGCGAAAGCAUGGGGGAGCGAACAGGAUUAGAUACCCU
rnacentral:rRNA from 1 species